UACGGAGGGUGCAAGCGUUGUCCGGAUUUAUUGGGUUUAAAGGGUGCGUAGGCGGUUUAUUAAGUCAGUGGUGAAAACCUGCAGCUCAACUGUAGAAUUGCCAUUGAUACUGAUAGACUUGAGUACAGACGAGGUAGGCGGAAUUUAUGGUGUAGCGGUGAAACGCAUAGAUACCAUAAAGAACACCUAUUGCGAAGGCAGCUUACUAGGCUGUAACUGACGCUGAGGCACGAAAAGCGUGGGGAUCGAACAGG
rnacentral:rRNA from 1 species